UCAAGGAUUGCACCAACAAGGAUUGUUGAUACACCGAGUGAAGGGCAAACAACAAUAUAAACAAAUAUUUUAGCAUCUGUAGCUAUAAAAUUCUGCUCGUUGGCACCAGCCUAAAGCUCCAGUCUAUCCAAGAGAUUCACUCAUGAAAGAAAAUGUGGGAUUGCAUCUUAAGGUUCUGCUUAAGCAGGAUAUAUGGUGGCUACUCAGGUACAUAGUUCUGUUUAUAUAUUAAUUUAUGUAGUGUUAGGAGAUUCACUCAUGAAAGAAAAUGUGGGAUUGCAUCUUAAGGUUCUGCUUAAGCAGGAUAUAUGGUGGCUACUCAGGUACAUAGUUCUGUUUAUAUAUUAAUUUAUGUAGUGUUAGCAGUCUGGAAUGAAAAAAGUAUAUCAUCAGGAAUGCGGGAUUACUAGGAUUAUGAGUCUUGCAUAAUCCAAGAAGUAAUAACUCUGGGAAGGUAUCAGUUUUGAGCAAUAUGAAAAAUGAGUGUUCACAAAGUUUGCAGAAGUGAGAGAAGUAUAACACUUCAAAGCACAUUUUGUUUCAUGAGUCAGGCUACGUUACAGGUUGGAUGUACGAUUAGCUAGAUCAAAUUCAGAUGUACUCUAUGCAAGAUCUUGUAUGAGCAUUUCACUGGCCAACGCAAUGCUCCGGAGAUGCUAUACAUACAAAACUAGGGGUAGGGGAUGGUAAGACGCACUUCUCAUGUCUCACAUUGUGAUAUCUGUUCUUCCCAUACAAAUGUAUUGCUCGUAUCAAGGAUACAGGGAAACAACUUAAGGGAUUUAGCAUGUUAGAUUACCCAUAUCUAUUAAACAAAAGAAGGGACAGAAAUACAGUUAAACUUAUUGGCUCGCAUAGAAGGG
rnacentral:lncRNA from 1 species